AGAGUUUGAUUAUGGCUCAGAGCGAACGCUAGCGGAAUGCUUUAUACAUGCAAGUCGAACGGAUUUUGAUUUUGUAGCAAUACAAAGAUUACGAUUAGUGGCGAACGGGUGAGUAAUAGUUAGGAACUUGCCGAAUAGUGGGGGACAACAGUUAGAAAUGACUGCUAAUACCGCAUACUCCCGAGAGGGGAAAGAUUUAUUGCUAUUCGAGAGGCCUAACCACGAUUAGCUUGUUGGCGGGGUAAAUGCCCACCAAGGCAGUGAUCGUUAGCCGAUCUUAGAGGAUGAUCGGCCACAUUGGGACUGAGACACGGCCCAGACUCCUACGGGAGGCAGCAGUAGGGAAUAUUGGACAAUGGACGCAAGUCUGAUCCAGCAAUUUCCCGCGUGAGUGAUGAAGGUGUUAUGCAUUGUAAAACUCUUUUGCCCAUGAAGACAAUGACGGUAGUGGGAGAAUAAGCACCGACUAACUAUGUGCCAGCCGCGGC
rnacentral:rRNA from 1 species